rnacentral:rRNA from 1 species
GCUAGUAAUCGCAGAUCAGCAUGCUGCGGUGAAUACGUUCCCGGGUCGUUGUACACACCGCCCGUCACACCAUGGGAGGCCGGGGAUGCCCGAAGUCAGUGGCCCAACCGCGAGGGGGGAGCUGCCGAAGGCAGGACCGGUGACUGGGGUGAAGUCGUAACAAGGUACC